UUGGCAUCUUAGUGGCGGACGGGUGAGUAACGCGUGGGGAACCUGCCCUGUACAGGGGGAUAACACUUAGAAAUAGGUGCUAAUACCGCAUAACGGGGGAAGCCGCAUGGCUUUUCCCUGAAAACUCCGGUGGUACAGGAUGGGCCCGCGUCUGAUUAGCCAGUUGGCAGGGUAACGGCCUACCAAAGCGACGAUCAGUAGCCGGACUGAGAGGUUGACCGGCCACAUUGGGACUGAGAUACGGCCCAGACUCCUACGGGAGGCAGCAG
rnacentral:rRNA from 1 species